rnacentral:lncRNA from 1 species
UUGAUGCUGAGGCUGUUAAUCUAGGGACCACAUGAGAAGUUAAAAAAGGAGUUAAGAAACAGAAAAACGUGUGGUCCCUGCUGCUGUGGAGCUGAUAAUCUAAGUGAAUACGUAUGAGACAAAGCUAUCCUAUAUACUAUCAGGACGGGAUCAUAAAGGGGCUCUCUCCUCAACCCAUGUCAUCAAUUUAUAGGAAGGUAGAGAAAGCAGAAGACUGAGAACAAACUUAGCUCAUUAACAGUCCUUGGAGUGAGCAAUCUCCAGCCAUUACUAUUAAUGGGAUUACACUUUCCUAUCAACAAAGACAACAAAGCCCUCGCUACUAAAUACAGUUCUUUUAUCUUAAUCACAAGCAGAUUUUCUUUCUGACUGAGUGUUGCUUCC